GCAAAGGAAGAAGGCAAAAGGAAAGCAAGAGAGAGAAAGAAAGGAAGAAGUGACCUGAUCAAGCGCAGACACUGGCUUGACUUUGCAUUGGGAUCACUCACCGCUCAAGUUGCCAUCUGUCACAAUUAAAAAGUAGUUGGAGGAUCUCUGGAGUAGUUUUUCCAUGGAAUCAGGCUCUGCAAGCGUCAAUAAUUGCCAUCCUAAGGAAGCCAUAGGCAGCUGAGAAGAUCUCCAUUUAAUCCAUUUCUGGAAGAGCACUGGUGUGAAACACAACCAACUCCUCUGGGACACCUACAGCACAAGGUCCAUCCAUUCCUUGCGAGGUGUGACUCUAAAACAGCUUCACCUCCACGCAAGUCAUCAGGCAAAGAGCAGCCAGUGCUGGAGCCCUCUCUGUGCAAGGUUCUCCAGGAGCCCCGAUAAAUCCUUGUGCUGAGGAGUGACUCUAAUAUGUAGAGGGCAUGGAAGAGGAGACAAUGCUAUCAGAUGCUCUCCUCGUCAUUUAAAAUAAAGGUGAAAAUAUAAUUCAGUGUGCAAGAAACUAAGCACCCAAGUCCCAUUUGUUCGCAUGCACCCAUGUGAAACAUGGGCAGAAGGAGUACAUACGUCAGCAGGCACGUACUCCAGAGCCUUGCAGGACUCCUGUGAGC